rnacentral:rRNA from 1 species
UGACCUCAAAUCAGGUAGGACUACCCGCUGAACUUAAGCAUAUCAAUAAGCGGAGGAAAAGAAACUAACAAGGAUUCCCCUAGUAACUGCGAGUGAAGCGGGAAAAGCUCAAAUUUAAAAUCUGGCAGUCUUUUGGCUGUCCGAGUUGUAAUCUAGAGAAGUGUUAUCCGCGCUGGACCGUGUAAAAGUCUCCUGGAAUGGAGCAUCAUAGAGGGUGAGAAUCCCGUCUUUGACAUGGACUGCCAGGGCUUUGUGAUGCGCUCUCAAAGAGUCGAGUUGUUUGGGAAUGCAGCUCAAAAUGGGUGGUAAAUUCCAUCUAAAGCUAAAUAUUGGCGAGAGACCGAUAGCGAACAAGUACCGUGAGGGAAAGAUGAAAAGAACUUUGGAAAGAGAGUUAAACAGUACGUGAAAUUGCUGAAAGGGAAACGCUUGAAGUCAGUCACGUCGUCCAGGGAUCAACCUUGCUUUUGCUUGGUGCACUUUCUGGUUUGACGGGUCAGCAUCAAUUUUGACUAUUGGAAAAAGGUUAAGGGAAUGUGGCAUCUUUGGAUGUGUUUAUAGCCCUUGGUCGCAUACAAUGGUUGGGAUUGAGGAACUCAGCACGCCGCAAGGCCGGGUUUUAAACCACGUACGUGCUUAGGAUG